UACGUAGGGGGCAAGCGUUGUCCGGAUUUAUUGGGCGUAAAGAGCGUGUAGGCGGCUUGACAGGUCUGCUGUGAAAAUUCGAGGCUCAACCUCGAGAUGUCGGCGGAAACCGUCUGGCUAGAGUCCGGAAGAGGCGAGUGGAACUCCUGGUGUAGCGGUGGAAUGCGCAGAUAUCAGGAAGAACACCGACGGCGAAGGCAGCUCGCUGGGACGGUACUGACGCUGAGGCGCGAAAGCGUGGGGAGCAAACAGG
rnacentral:rRNA from 1 species